GCCUCCGUAGCUAAAACCUAAAGCAUUG
rnacentral:tRNA from 1 species